CGUAGGGUGCGAGCGUUGUCCGGAUUUAUUGGGCGUAAAGAGCUCGUAGUCGUUUGUCCCGUCUAUAGUGAGAACCGACCGCUUAACUGCGGGCUUGCUGUCGAUACGGGCAGACUUGAGUUCGGCAGGGGAGACUGGAAUUCCUGGUGUAGCGGUGAAAUGCGCAGAUAUCAGGAGGAACACCGGUGGCGAAGGCGGGUCUCUGGGCCGAUACUGACGCUGAGGAGCGAAAGCGUGGGGAGCGAACAGGAUUAGAUACCCUGGUAGUCCACGCCGUAAACGUUGGGCGCUAGGUGUGGGGAUGGGUUCCACCACUUCCGUGCCCUACGUAACGCAUUAAGCGCCCCGGCGGGGGAGUUCCGCCGCAAGGCUAAAACCCAAAGGAAUUGACGGGGGCCCGCACAAGCGGCGGAGCAUGGGGUUUAAUU
rnacentral:rRNA from 1 species